GUUAUAUCCUGUUAAAAUGUAUGUGUGUCUUUAAAUUUGUUGAAUUAUUCUGUGUAAAAUACUUGAUAUUUUUGUCUGAUAAAACCAUUUAUCUAACAUAAGUUUUAUAAUGCCUUUAUUCAUUCAAUUUGGUUUUUUUUCGACUUUCCAAGUAAAAAAAAAAUGAUUUCUCAUACAAUUUUUUUUCUUCAGGCAAACUUUGCUACAUUUGUCAUUAUUGAGAGGGUAGAAGGGGUCCUGAUCCCGAAAUCUCGGGCUUAAAAACAUGUGAAUUUCAUCUGGUGAUGAACAUGAAAUCCUGAGGUCCCGAAAUUAAAUUAGUUUAAAUCCUGACAUUUGAAAAAAGAAUUCCUGGAUCCCAAAGGGGUAAUCCUGAAAUCCCGAGCUUAAAAACACUCGAUCCCGGAGUCCUGAUAAAGGUCCUAUCCCCCCUCAUUAUUAUAUCACAAGAAGUUAGUUGCUAUUAUGUACCAUUUUAUUAUUGCUAUUGCUGCCCAUGUUAAUUUACUGUUAGCUUUUGUUUAAUUAUGUUGAUGCAAAAUCCUCCUACCAAGUCUUUCAGAUCACGUUGAAUUUCAGUAUGGAAGUGUACAAUGUAUUAUUUAUUUUUACUUCAAUUUUUAUUCUAUAAAAUAUGCUUAUUAUAACUUAUUUUCUAACUUAUUCAACUCUAGGAUGGUCCUGAACAUGCAUGAAAUAAUUGCCUUUGGACUUUUAACAUACAACAAUCAAAUAAUCUUUAUCCGUAGGAAAAAUAUUUUUAAAAAGAGGCAUACUAGUGGGUUGUCUCCCAUUUUCAUUAUUUAAAAAAUAAUUUUGCAAAUGUUCUAAAAUAAGCAGUAGAAUGAAAACACCACACAAAUAUAUUCAGACGAACUCAUUUUAAGUGAGUUAUUUCCUUCCAGUGUAGAUCAAUCCAAAAUGUAUCCCAAUUAUUUUUCUUUGUUCAUGAUUUUUUAAAUAUAUUUUUCUGACUUGUGUAUAUUAAUAUUAAAGUGGAAUUCAGUUUUUAAGUUUCCAUUAACCCAAAAUACCACUAACAGUGUUGCACUUCACUAUUCAAAGCAAACAACUCCUGGCAGGGCAGCCUGUAAGUAUUAAUCAACUAGAAUAUUGUUUAUAAUUAUAAUUUACAAGGGAGAUAACUGUGUGAGUGAAAAUAAUAUUAAACCAUUUUACAAAUGCUCUGAUUUCUAUAACUAGUCAUAUUUGUUGGGAUUGUUAUUUGUUUUGUUUAUUGUUACAAGUUAUUUAUAUAUAUAAGCAAUGAUAUCAGCCAGUAUUUUAUAUAAGCUUUAUUGAUUUUAUUUUUCGGUAUAUUUAUUUAUAAUAAAA
rnacentral:lncRNA from 1 species